UUGUUGAAAGUCGAUGCCAGCCGCAGGCAAAGCGAUCCACGUAAGCCAGUAAAAUUCCCGUGAUCACGGUGCGGCCUAGAUGUAAAUCCGGCCACGCUUUAAGCGCGAGAUGGGUAUCAGUGGUGAGCAACUGCUUAUGAGCGAGGCCCCCAGACGAUGAGUGUGGGGGCAAAGACCAGGU
rnacentral:ncRNA from 1 species